UGGACAGUAGCCAAGUGGUAAGGCACCGGACUUUGACUCCGUUAUGCGAAGGUUCAAUCCCUUCCUGUCCAGCCA
rnacentral:tRNA from 2 species